rnacentral:rRNA from 1 species
AUGGAGGAGUUCAUCAGUCUCGGCGGCGACGAACCUGAGCCUCGCGCCUCGGAAGAUCUCGACCAACCCCAAGUCCAAGCCCAAGUCGAUUUGAAUCUGAAUCUGAAUCACGCACCACCACCAAAGACGGAGACGGAGCCUCUGCCAUCCCACCACCAGCCACAAGACAGCGGCGUCGUCGUCCUCGAGGAAGGCCAGAUCGCCUGCCAAGAAUCUUCUUCUUCUGCUGCUGUCCAAGAUGCGCAGGCCAAGGCCCAAGAAGAAGCCCUGCUGCGAGCAAAUGGAGUGGGGCCUCCUCCCCCAUCCCGCCAACAACCGCAGGCCACAAAGGCCGCCGCUUGUGAUGACAUCAUCGAUCUCGAAGAAGGCCAGGUUGAGGACAUGGACCUCUCCGACGACAAUGCCGUAGUCGUCGUCGUUACAAAGCAGCAUGGUGCUGUUUCAGCUGAAACACCCAAGGGCAACAAUGUUGGGCCUUCCCUUUCGACACCGACCAGCGCCUUUAUCGACCAAAGCCCCACAAGAGGAGUUAAAAGAGCCCGUGCCGAAUCAACCGAGCCCUCUGUCCGUGUAGUCUACAACAACUUGACAAGGGAAAGCAAAAGGAAGCUCAUGGAACUGAUGCAACAAUGGUCCGAGUGGCAAGCUAGAAAGCAGCACGCCUCGACGGAAACUGUGGAACAAGUCUUGGACUGUGGUGAAGAGACUUAUUAUCCAGCAUUACAUGUUGGUUCAGAGAGAUCCUGUGCUGUGAAGUCAUUCUGGGUGGAUAGCCAAGCACGAGGAAAUGCUGCUGUGGAUGAUGGUGCGGUGCCACUGUAUGAUCGAGAAUUUACAUUGGGUUCAACUCCUAUGGGUGAUUCAUCAAACGCUGAAGGCAAGAAAGAUAAGGAUGAUUCUCGCUGUUUCAACUGUGGUUCGUAUAGCCAUGCUCUGAAGGAUUGCCCAAAGCCUCGUGACCAUGUUGCAAUUAGCAAUGCCCGCAAGCAGCACAACUUGAAAAGGAACCUAUCUAAUGUUGGUAAUCGUGGACAAAAUCGGUACUACCAGAAGACGCCAGGCAAAUUUGAUGAUCUCAAGGCAGGAGUCCUGGGAUCUGAGACUAGAGAAUGCUUGGGACUCAGGGAAAAUGACCCGCCGCCGUGGCUGCACAGGAUGCGUGAAUUGGGUUAUCCUCCAGGUUACCUAGAUGAGGUGGAAGAUGAAGACAAACCAUCUGGCAUCACCAUAUUUGGGGACGGGGAGGUGAAGGAAGAGCAGCAGCAGCACGAGGAGGGAGAGCUUCCGGAGAAGGGCGAAGCAUCCCCACCUCGCAAGAGGAUGACGGUGGAGUUCCCUGGAAUAAACGCGCCCGUCCCAGAGAACGGCGACCCUUGGCUCUGGGGCAGCGCUCCUCCGCCCCCUCUUCAGUCCUCCUCGGGCCGUCACAACCAGCACUCGUCAUCAGAUUCGAGGGAUAGAGCUCCUCCUGCUCCUCCAGGCGUUGAGCAUUACUCGUCAUCGAGGUAUCACUCAUACGACUACGGACCGGCGAUCCCUGGUGCCGGAAGAAGAAGCUCAUCUGGUUAUGACGAUGGUGCCUGGACCCCGAGCCCUUCGUUUUCGAGCAGGCAGCACUUAGGGUCGGGGGGAUCGAGGGAGAGGGAGAGGGAGAGGGAGAGGGAGAGGGAGAGGGAGAGGGAAAGGGAAAGGGACAGAGAGAGGGACAGGCACUACUACAGCAACAGGAGGUGA